AACGUAGGACACAAGCGUUAUCCGGAGUUACUGGGCGUAAAGGGCGUGUAGGCGGGAUGGUAAGUCUACUCUGAAAGCUCCUGGCUAAACUGGGAGAGGCGAGUGGAGACUGUCGUUCUAGAGUGAGGAAGAGGAAAGUGGAAUUCCGCGUGUAGUGGUGAAAUGCGUAGAGAUGCGGAGGAACACCAGUGGCGAAAGCGACUUUCUGGUCCUUAACUGACGCUGAGGCGCGAAAGCAUGGGGAGCGAACGGGAUUAGAAACCCCUGUAGUCC
rnacentral:rRNA from 1 species